GACUGGUUGCGUAAAAGGAAGGUAUUAGCACCCUAAAUACGCCUUACCUAAGGUAAGCUACAUUGUUUGAUUGUCUGAUAAAAAGUUAAGGUGUUAUUGUAUUUCUAGUUGUUGGUCCGUCUAUGGUUCAAGAAAAGUCCUCCUCAAUAAGGAGGUCCUUAUCUUAUCGAGAUAAAACCUAACUGG